rnacentral:rRNA from 1 species
GUCUACAGUCAUACCGCUUAAUGUUCCUGAUCUCGUCUGAUCACGGAAGCUGAGCAGGGUCAGGCCUAGUUAAUACUUGGAUGGAAAAACAGUCGAAAUGAGAGGGAAAUAUGCCACAUGUAGUGA